rnacentral:lncRNA from 1 species
AGAGUGGUCGAAAUAGAGGGGUGACGAGAGUGAUGGAAGAGCGGGGGAGCAGAAGGAGGAGACGGAGUCGGAGUUAGGAUCAAGAGAGGCACGAAGGACGGCGGAGGCGAGGCUGCAUAUGAGCAUGAUUGGAGAGGAGGCGAAGAGGGUGGGCGACAAUUUGAUCAUUUUGUCAUCAAAUUUUUUAUUUUUUAAGAAGAUAACGUUUAAAUUUUUUAAUAAUAAAAAAGAAAAGUAAAAAAUCGAAUUUUGAUGAAUUUUUUUUUUUAAUUUAACCAAAUAUUAAAUUGAUUUGUCGGG